CCGUGCUUGCACGGUUUUGAGUUGACUCAUAGUAACCAGCGAAUCGCAUGCUUCGGCGGCGAUGUGUCAUCCGAGUUUCUGACCUAUCAGCUUCCGACGGUAGGGUAUUGGCCUACCGUUGCUUUGACGGGUAACGGAGAAUUAGGGUUCUAUUCCGGAGAGGGAGCCUGCGAAACGGCUACCACAUCUAAGGAAGGCAGCAGGCGCGCAAAUUACCCAAUCCUGAUUUUUUUUGGUAGUGACAAGAAGUACCAAUACGAGGCAUCUACGUCUAGUAAUUG
rnacentral:rRNA from 1 species